rnacentral:misc_RNA from 1 species
AAUUAAACAUUUUUUACUCUUCAAAACUAUUUCCUUCAAAAAACAUGCCAUACAUAUGAUUAUCCAUUUUUAAUAUCUCUAAAUAUAUCUUAUAGUCACACAAUCUUUUUAUCAUCCAGUUUCUUACAGCCUUAAUACACAUACCCACAAUGUCAUACAAAUGGGGGUUUACAUAUAUUAUCAUAUAAUGUCCAAAAAAUAAAAAAGAUUCAUAAUCAUACAUAUAAAGAAAUAGGUAUUCCUCCCAUUUCAUAACUUUCAUCAUAAUAUAUAGUUAAAAUUUCAACAACUUCUUCUUUUGAUUCUGAGAAAUAAUAAUAAUAAUAAUAAU